rnacentral:rRNA from 1 species
GAUGAACGCUGGCGGCGUGCCUAAUACAUGCAAGUCGAGCGAACAGAUCAGUAUCUUGCUCCUCUGACGUUACCGGCCGACGGGUCAGUAACACGUUGAUAACCUACCUAUAAGACUUGGAUAACUUCGGGAAACCUUAGCUAAUACCGGAUAAUAUUUUUAACCGCAUGGUUCAAUAUUGUAUUACGGUUUUGCUGUCACUUUUACAUCUUUCCCCUCCGCAUUAGCUAGUUGGUAAGGUAACGUCUUACCAAGGCAACGAUGCUUAGCCGACCUGAUAGGGAGAUCGGCCAGACGGGAAGUGAGAAACGGUACAGACUCCGACGGGAGGAAGCAGAAGGGAAUCGUACGCAAUGGGCGAAAGGAUGACGGAGGAAAAGCGCGUGAGUGAUGAAGGACUUAGGAUCGUAAAACUAUGUAAUUAGGGAAGAAGAAAAGUGUAAGUAAAUAUGAACGUAUUGACGGUAACUAAAGAGAAAGCCACGGCUAACUACGUG